GGCAUAGCUCAGUGGCAGAACAUCUGCUUUAUAUGUAGAAUGUCCCAGGUUCAAUCCCCGCUGGCUCCU